rnacentral:tRNA from 3 species
GUGGCAGUAGCUCAAUGGUAGAGCUACGGGUUGUGGUCCCGUCGGCUGUGGGUUCGAGUCCCAUCUGCCACCCCA